rnacentral:rRNA from 1 species
UGCGUAGGCGGCUUGGUGGGUCUGGUGUGAAAGCCCCGGGCUCAGCCCGGGAAGGGCGCUAGAAACUGCCAAGCUCGAGUGCCGGAGGGGAGAGUGGAAUUCCUGGUGUAGCGGUGAAAUGCGUAGAGAUCAGGAGGAAUACCGGUGGCGAAAGCGACUCUCUGGACGGCAACUGACGCUGAGGCACGAAAGCGUGGGGAGCAAACA